rnacentral:rRNA from 1 species
UACGUAGGGGGCAAGCGUUGUCCGGAAUCAUUGGGCGAAAAGCGCGCGUAGGCGGCCCGGUAAGUCCGCUGUGAAAGUCAAAGGCUCAACCUUUGAAUGUCAGCGGAUACUGCCGGGCUAGAGUCCGGAAGAGGCGAGUGGAACUCCUGGUGUAGCGGUGGAAUGCGCAGAUAUCAGGAAGAACACCAACGGCGAAGGCAGCUCGCUGGGACGGAACUGACGCUGAGGCGCGAAAGCGUGGGGAGCGAACAGG